rnacentral:lncRNA from 10 species
GUUGCUGUAGGUUGAAUUAUGUUGCUCAAAAAGACAUCUUGAAGUCUAAACCCUGGUACCUGUAAGUGUGACCUUAUCUGGAAAUAGGAUCUUUGCAGAUGUAAUCAAGUUAAGAUGAGGCAUACUGGAUUUGGGUGGAUACUAGAUCCACUAACUUGUGUCCUUUAUAAGAAAAGAGACACACAGAGAAGAAGGCCAUGUAAAGACAGAGGCAGAGAUGGAGUGAUGCAGCUGCAAACCAGGGAAACAGAAGCUAGGAAGAGGUAAGGAAGGAUUCCUCCCUGGAGCCUUCAGAGGAAGCAUGGCCCCACCCACAUCUUGAUUUCAGAAGAGAUAGAGUUUCUCCAUGUUGACCAGGCUGGUCUCAAACUUCUGACCUCAAGUGAUUCACCGGACUCUGCCUUCCAAAGUGCUAGGAUUACAGGCCUGAGCCACAGCGCCUGGCCCAUUACUGCUUUUUUACUUCCAAAUGUUGAAUACCACUCUUUGUUAGCUACCAUUUCUUUUUGAGGAUAAUACCUUGAAACACUCCUUGUCAGCUACCAGCUAGACAGUCCCCAGAUUACACUUUCAGCUACCUACUUUUAUUGUGAUUUUUGGUCGUUUGUAGUUAUUAUUUUCUGAAUAACUCUGUUCACUACUAUUUCUGGCACUUAUUUUUAACCAGAUAUUAGAACUUUCUUAACUAAAGAUCCUACAACCAGAAGUCAGAACACAGACUGCUAUAUAUCAUGGACUCAAUUCAGAUGAAUAAUUUGACAUUUCCCAAAAAAAUUUCAAUUACGGUCAUUUUCUUACCACCCAGUUUACUUAAUACCUG